GAUGAACGCUGGCGGCAUGCCUAAUACAUGCAAGUCGAGCGAACGGACGAGAAGCUUGCUCCUCUGAUGUUAGCGGCGGACGGGAGAGUAACACGUGGAUAACCUACCUAUAAGACUGGGGUAACUUCAGGAAACCGGGGCUAAGACCGGAUGAUAUAUUGCACCGCAUGGUUCAAAAGUGAAAGACGGUCUUGCUGACACUUAUAGAUGAAUCCGCGCUGCAUUAGCUAGUUGGUAAAGUAACGGCUUACCAAGGCAACGAUGCAUAGACGACCUGAGCGGGUGAUCGCACAGACUGUCUCUGAGACACGUUCCACACUCUGACGGGAGGCCGCAGUACGGACUCUUCCGCGAUGCGCCAAUGCCUGAUGGUGCAACGCCGCCUGAGUGAUGAAGGUCUUCUGACCCUAAAACGCUGUUAGUAUGGAAGUUGAUAUGCGUAAGUAACUGUGCACAUCUUGACGGUACCUAAUCAGAAAGCCCCGGCUAACUCCGUG
rnacentral:rRNA from 1 species